rnacentral:rRNA from 1 species
GGAUCCUGAGUACGACGGAGCACGUGAAAUUCCGUCGGAAUCUGGGAGGACCAUCUCCUAAGGCUAAAUACUCUCUAGUGACCGAUAGUGAACCAGUACCGUGAGGGAAAGGUGAAAAGCACCCCGGAAGGGGAGUGAAAUAGAACCUGAAACCGUGUGCUUACAAGUAGUCAGAGCCCGUUAAUGGGUGAUGGCGUGCCUUUUGUAGAAUGAACCGGCGAGUUACGAUUUGAUGCAAGGUUAAGCAGUAAAUGUGGAGCCGUAGCGAAAGCGAGUCUGAAUAGGGCGUUUAGUAUUUGGUCGUAGACCCGAAACCAGGUGAUCUACCCUUGGUCAGGUUGAAGUUCAGGUAACACUGAAUGGAGGACCGAACCGACUUACGUUGAAAAGUGAGCGGAUGAACUGAGGGUAGCGGAGAAAUUCCAAUCGAACCUGGAGAUAGCUGGUUCUCUCCGAAAUAGCUUUAGGGCUAGCCUCAAGUGAUGAUUAUUGGAGGUAGAGCACUGUUUGGACGAGGGGCCCCUCUCGGGUUACCGAAUUCAGACAAACUCCGAAUGCCAAUUAAUUUAACUUGGGAGUCAGAACAUGGGUGAUAAGGUCCGUGUUCGAAAGGGAAACAGCCCAGACCACCAGCUAAGGUCCCAAAAUAUAUGUUAAGUGGAAAAGGAUGUGGCGUUGCCCAGACAACUAGGAUGUUGGCUUAGAAGCAGCCAUCAUUUAAAGAGUGCGUAAUAGCUCACUAGUCGAGUGACACUGCGCCGAAAAUGUACCGGGGCUAAACAUAUUACCGAAGCUGUGGAUUGUCCUUUGGACAAUGGUAGGAGAGCGUUCUAAGGGCGUUGAAGCAUGAUCGUAAGGACAUGUGGAGCGCUUAGAAGUGAGAAUGCCGGUGUGAGUAGCGAAAGACGGGUGAGAAUCCCGUCCACCGAUUGACUAAGGUUUCCAGAGGAAGGCUCGUCCGCUCUGGGUUAGUCGGGUCCUAAGCUGAGGCCGACAGGCGUAGGCGAUGGAUAACAGGUUGAUAUUCCUGUACCACCUAUAAUCGUUUUA